GAUAAACGUUUGCGGCGUGCCUGAUGCAUGCAAGUCGAACGCCCUGAUUUUUCGCAAGAUUGAUCAGGGAGUGGCGAACGGCUGAGUAACGCGUAAGUGACCUGUCCCUAAGUGGGGGAUAACUUGCCGAAAGGCAGGCUAAUACCGCAUGUGCUGGUAAGCGUAAGGCUUAUCAGUAAAGCUUUAGUGCUUGGGGAGGGGCUUGCGUCUGAUUAGCUAGUUGGUAGGGUAAUAGCCUACCAAGGCGAUGAUCAGUAGCUGGUCUGAGAGGACAACCAGCCAGACGGGGACUGAGAUACGGCCCUGACUCCUACGGGAGGCAG
rnacentral:rRNA from 1 species